AAUAGUAUAUAUAAGGCACAUGGGCCAUCCUGAGGGCUGAGAUAAAGCUCCUAAGGAAGACCCUACCCCAAGGUGAACCUUGAUCUUGUUGGACAGGGAAAGGCUACAGCUCACCAAAUGGCAAGGAAGUACUAGCAGAAUUCGCUGCAAAUUCACCCUCUAGGAUGCUAGAAGAGACUGUUCCCUGGCAGGUGUCUCACUGAAGUACUUGGAUAUAAAACUUGCCAAGGGAAAUGCUGGAGGAAACUGCUGGCUGUUGCUGACAUCCUGGCACUGCAAAAGCCUGGCUCUGGGAAGGUGACGAGCUGCGGAGAACCUGAAACUGUAGGAAGAGGCUCUCAGUGUGGAAGCCUGGUGCUGGGGUAUUUCUCAUCCGUAGGCACUACCAAGAGCGGCUCAACUGACAACAAAGUUCCUUCUUCUGACAUUGCUUAGUCUUGCCUCCGGCAAAGGAAGAAUGCUUAAGGGCCAGCUUCACGUUCUCUGGGCAGGAAAUGAGAAGUGCAUGUGGAUCUGAGACAGAAUAUUGAUAACCGGCACAGAAUGACAUACUUUUAAAUAUUGCUUUCCUUUGGUAUCAGUUUACCUUCAGCUGUAUUGUAAGGCAUUUAGUGGAGCUUGAUUUAAUGGUAAAAGAAAGGUCUGCUGACUUUGCAGUGUGCUUUUGGGUAAAUCACCUAAUUCCCUUGAUUACUUCUGUGAAAAGUGGCAAUUAUAUUAGAUAACUGCUAAGGUUCUUCGGUUUUCUUCUUCUGUUUUGGUAGUACUGGAUAUUGAACCCAGGGGUACUUUACCACUAAGUCACAUCACCAGUCCUUUUUAUUUUUUGAGACAGGGCUUGCUAAGUUGCUGAGGGUCUCACUAAAUUGCUGAGGCUGGCCUUAACUUCUUCGGCCUUAACCUCUCAACGUCGCCCGAUUACAGGCGUGCACCACCGUACCCAGCUCUCUGUUUUUAUUCUGGUAAGCCUUAGAGUCCUUGUUGUUGUUUCCUGAUGUGUUUGUCUAACGUAGGCAUUAAAACAGAGAAAACUUCAGUAAAAGCUUUCCCCCUCGCCCAGAGAAUGAAGGCGAGACCAGGGAGAAAAAGGAAAUAACACUGCACCCGGAUUCUCCGCUGGACGCUCCGCCCUAUCCCUCCCCUCCCUUCCUGCCAGCCCCACC
rnacentral:lncRNA from 1 species